rnacentral:rRNA from 1 species
CCUACGGGAGGCUGCAGUGGGGAAUAUUGCACAAUGGGGGAAACCCUGAUGCAGCAACGCCGCGUGAGUGAAGAAGUAUUUCGGUAUGUAAAGCUCUAUCAGCAGGGAAGAAGAAAGACGGUACCUGACUAAGCAGCCCCGGCUAACUACGUGCCAGCAGCCGCGGUAAUACGUAGGGGGCAAGCGUUAUCCGGAAUUACUGGGUGUAAAGGGAGCGUAGACGGCUGUGCAAGUCUGAAGUGAAAGCCCGUGGCUCAACCGCGGAACUGCUUUGGAAACUGUAUAGCUGGAGUACUGGAGAGGCAGGCGGAAUGCCUAGUGUAGCGGUGAAAUGCGUAGAUAUUAGGAGGAACACCAGUGGCGAAGGCGGCCUGCUGGACAGAAACUGACGUUGAGGCUCGAAAGCGUGGGGAGCAAACAGGAUUAGAUACCCGUGUAGUC